CCUGGCUUUGUCUUGCAGGGUGCUGGCAGCUUGCUGGGGCGGUGUGUGUGCACCCCGCAUGUGUGGCUGGAUCUGGGGGGCCGGCAGCCCCCCCGGCUGCGACGUUACCCGCUGGAGGGGCCGGGGGGGCCGGCGGGGGAGCUGCUGGCUGCCUUCGAGCUGCUGCACGAGGCUGAGGAGGGGGCCCUGGCGCAGCUCAGCACCCCCCCGUGGAGAGACGGCACCUUCAGCGUCCCCCUGGGCAUCCGGCCCCUGCUGCGGCUGGUGGCACUCGAGGUGCUGGCGUGGGGGCUGCGGGGGCUGCGCGGCCGCUCCCCCCUGCCCGUGCGCGCCCCCAGCCUGGAGGUGCAGUGCGGGGGCCAGGUCCUGCGCACGCCCCCCAUCGCCGACCUCGCCGCCAACCCCAACUUCCCCAUCAACGCCUUCCUGCUGCCGCUGCACCUGCCGGCGGAGGAGGAGUACGUGCCCCCCCUGCGGCUGCGGGUGCUGGACACGCAGGGGUUCGGGUACCGGCCCGAGCUGGGGCAGGCGUGCGUGCGGGGCUUGGGGCGCUUCUGCUGCCAGCCCCACGGCGGGGGGCAGCCACAUGGGCCCGGUGCCCCCCUGGCGAGCCUUGGUCCUGGUACAGCCCUGCCUGCCCCUGCCCAUCCCUGCCCUCUCCCUGGAAGCCCCUUCCCCAUUCCUGGUACCUCCCUUUCCCAUCCCAUCCCUUCCUUUUCCACCCCUUCCCCAUCCCUUCCCAUCCCUUGUCCAUCUCUUCCCCAUCCCUUCCUACCCCUUCCCACCCCUUCCCCUUCCCUUCCCCUUCCCUUCCUAUCCCUUCCUUAUCCCUGGAACCUCCCUUCUCAUCCUUUGUGCCUCUCUUCCCAUCCCUUCCCCAACCUUUCCUCAUCCCUUCUCCAUCCCUUCUCAUCCCUUCUUAUUCCUUCCCCAUCCCUUCUUUCUUAUCCCUUUCCCAUCCCUCCCCCAUCCCUCCCCAUCCCUCCCCAUCCCUUCCCCUCUCUGGGAUGAUUUCUUUCCCCUCUCCCCACGCAGCCACUGCCUGGGACAGGAUCGCUCAGGUGAGUCCCCUCCUGUCCCCCCCUCACCCAGCCCCGGCAGCGCUGGCCCCACAGAGGGGUCCCCGGCCCCCCACCCCCGUUCCCCAAGGCGUCCCCUCCGCUCCCUGCAGAUCCUGCCCAAGGUCACCGCUGAGAAGGGGGCUGCGGACAAGGUGGGCACGGGAACGGGGCCUCCAAGGGCACCGGGGCCACCCCUCCCCGCCUCACCCUGCUCCCCACCAGGCUGCGGAGAGGGAGGAAGAGAACGAGGACGAGGGAGACUGGUGGAGCAAAUUCUAUGCGGCCAUGGGGGACACUGCAAAGAGCCACCGGGGGACACACAGGGACAGCCUCAAGGUGAGCCGGGGCAGGGGGCAAGGACAGAGAUGGAGACAGAUGGGAAUAGGAUGGGGAGGAGGGUGGGGAAGAGGAUUGGGGCAGAGAUGAGGUGGCAAUGGGAACAAUGAUGGGGAUGGGGACAGGGACGGUUGGGGACACUCAGAUGGGGACAGGGAUGAAGACACAGGGGGAUGAAGUCAGGGAUGGAGACUGGGAGGGGAACAGGAUGGGGACAAGGACAGGGGCAGGAGAAGUGAUGAAAGGGAUGGGAUGGAGACAGGGAUGGGGAUGGGGACAGGAAUGAGUACAAGACGAGGACAGGGACAGGAGUAAAGGUGGGGAGGGGACAGGAAUAAAGAUGGGAGGGGACAGGGACUGGGCUGGGGA
rnacentral:lncRNA from 1 species